UACGGAGGGUGCAAACGUUGCUCGGAAUCAUUGGGCGUAAAGCGCACGUAGGUGGCCUGUUAAGUCGGGUGUGAAAUCCCUGGGCUCAACCCAGGAAGUGCACUCGAAACUGGCGGGCUUGAGUACUGAAGAGGGUCGCGGAAUUCCCGGUGUAGAGGUGAAAUUCGUAGAUAUCGGGAGGAACACCAGUGGCGAAGGCGGCGACCUGGGCAGAUACUGACACUGGAGGUGCGAAAGCGUGGGGAGCAAACAGG
rnacentral:rRNA from 1 species